AGCUUCAGGAAGUGCGCCUGCGCGGUAACAGAGGUAGGGGGACGGUAUUAGCAAAGAGCUCCGCCUCUUUCUCCUACUUUCCUGAACCUGCCGGCGCUCGCACAGUGAUUUGCGCCUGCGUUUCUGCACAGGAAUUGGAAGAAGGCAAGAAAUGAGGCAUACCAAGCACGUCAUAGCAGAAGGGUGUGCGCAGGUGUGCCUGAGACAUCGCCCUGCUUAAACUCAGCCAGGCAGGUCCAGUGAUGGCAGCCAGAAAAUGAAGUCACUUUGGACCACAGCCUAAGAAUACAAUGACUUCAGAACACAAAAUCUUCAGUUAGGGAGGAGUUCAUAAUAGUCACCCUAACAAGAAGUAAAAUUUAAACUCUCCUGGACAAUAGUGAAACUGCUUAUGCUCAAAUAGCCAGAAAAGGGGCAAGGUGAGUGGCAGGGGAAGAAGAGAGGUUUCUCAGAUUUAUCUGUUUCAUUUCAUUGUUUUUUUCUUAAUUGGUGUUUUUUGACAGUACAAUAUCUGAAUGUAUAAUUAUGAGAUGGAGUAGUUCUCAUAAUUUUGCCACCACUAAAAAUAUCGGGAAAAUGCAAAUUUGUUCCAGCUGACCGAAUUACUGCUAAAGUAAACCUGAUUGAUUAAAAGAAAAGCUUUUUUUUCCUCAAUGUAAAUAACAAUGUUCUGAAUAUCUUGGGUUUCCAGGAUACAGCAGCUGAAAAUAAAGUUUACAGCCUAUGGCAAAUGCAGUGUAUCUUAAGAUGUAUCAUAUUAUCUGGCUGAAAACAAAUAGCUGGGGAAAAUAGGCAUAAUGAAAGUACCAAAUUUCUAAGUCUAUUUUUAAUAUUUUUAGUAGUACUGACCCCAGAAGAAGUAUAAUCAGUUUUUAAUAAAGGCCAAUUCAAAAGCAGCAGUGCAGAACUUAAUAUUCCUGGCACUUUUCAUAAUCAUGGCUUGUUGUCACAUAAACCUCUAUCAUUCAAUUUAUAAAAAUUGGAUAAGCUGCCUGGCUCAUUAAAUAGCUUACAUGAGUUCAUACUAACAGGGUGUCAGAGAAAGAAAGAAAAGCCUUUAGAAGGGCUGGAAGAGGAGGGCAGAGGAGAAACAGAGGCUCCCCUAAGAGCUUGGUGGGACUUGAGGCAUAAUUCCAACCACACCCUUCUCUCCCACACCUGAGCCAGAGCAACAUUUGAGGAGCACAGAGUGACUGCAAGAAUAAAUGCUGCCUCACUUUUCCACUUUAUAAUAAAACAAAAAUUAUGUGAUCUUCCAUCAUCCAUUUGUAACUCAAGAUGUCUUGGAGCUGGGAAAUUAGGGGAAUUUACUGGGCAGUGUGUAUGGGCGUUGCUAUGACUAAGGGGAGAAACAGCAGAAUUAGGACCUAAUGAGUCUAGAAGGAUGGGGUUGGGCUUCUCCUGGGGGAUUAUAAAUGUGUAAGUCACCAGCUGACAGAGCUCUGAUCCCUGACUCAAUGCAUAGGAAAUAGAACCACUAGGGGAGGGUCUAUGGCAUUUUAGAUACCAACAAUGAUAGUAACACUAGCAUUUAGAGUUUAUGAAGAGCUUUAAUUCUUCUCUCAUUUCUAUUCCAUGGACUCCCUUACAUUUCUAACCGCGGGUAAACUCAGCAGGAAUGAUGCCUGAAAUAGUGUAUCAUUCCUAAGUUGCUAGGGAAAGAUUCAGUAAGCUUUUAAUUAAAAUCACAGGAGAACCAGAUUCUAAGGAGUAGUCAGUACACAGCAGUGUUGCACUGUGGACUUUGCUGCACUCAGUAGGCUCUCUAUGGUCAUUCAGAGAGAUCAAAUGGCCCACUACUUACUGAGAAGGAAACUUGAGAAAUGCUGUGCUGCUUCCUAGAAUCACUGAUUUGCAGGCAAGUCUUACCCUGAGUAUGGUAAAGAGGCACCAGGAAGGACUGGGAAGACCUGGCUGCCUGUAAGCCUUUAUUUCCCUCGCAGGUGCACGUAUGCCAUUUUCAGAAGAAGAGAACACUGUUCACCUAUUCUCCAGUCUAGUAAGGCUGGCAGUCCCAGAUACUGAGUCAAUGACCAAGACUCAACUCUCUCCCUCACUUCAGAUUGCCAGUACAUAAUUUGGCUCUGGGAAAGAGUUCCACAUUGAUACAAUACCCCUCAUGAAGUUUACAAACAGCCUGCAACUUCCAAUAUCCGGUCUUGCCUUCAAUAUCAUAACUUUUUGCAUUGCUAACAUAAAUCUACUUCAUCUAUGAAAAGCAUUAACUCCCGGAGAACCAUCACAGUGAAAGCCAACAGCUCUUCUUUCAAUAUUACCAUUCAUACCAAGGCUCUGGCAUUCCCUUUAGCCAGCUUUGGCUUUGUGAUUUUUAUGGAACCCUGUGACCAUGGUUUCAGCAGGACUAGCUAUGGGUCGAACAAUCUGAGCUAUCUUGACAUUAACGUUCAUGGAAGCCCAGGAAAGUCUUUAGCUUUGGGGGAUGAGGAAGGCAUUCCGUGGAAGUGCCUGAUGCUUCUCUCUGCUCAAGCAUAAGUAAGUCCACAUUCAGUCUCAUAAGCUGGGGAUCAUUGAGGAAGCUCUCAGGGCUGCUGGAAAAGGGUCAGGAAUUCCCCAAGCCUUGGGGUUAGGACUGCAGAUUAGCCCGUUGAAUGUUAAUUUGAGGUCUGGUAGUAAGGGACCAACAGCUGUUGGGGACCCUAGAAAGGCAAGUGGGUAGCAAGCAGGGCUUCAGAUGACUUCCUCUCUGUGGCCUCCUGGGCCACAGAGCAGAAAUUCUCUCGAGCUUUUCACUGUUCUAGCUUCCACCUUGGUCAUUCAUGAGUUUCGUUAAAGGAAACACACAGGAAGAUUCAGCAAGAGAGAAGAGGCAAGGCAGGAGAAAUAAUGGCACAAUGAACAUUUAAGAGAAUGCAGGGAAGAGAAGGAAGGAGGAUUGAAAAAGAGCAGUUACUGAAGCUGCAGCCCAUCUGUAGCCAUCAGUGUCUGAUACACAUGAUUUGCACUUAACUUUUGACUGAAUCUCUUAACAGUUUUUUGCAUUAACAGGAGAUGUCCUUA